CAUGGGAGUGGGUUGCAAAAGAAGUAGGUAGCUUAACCUUCGGGAGGGCGCUUACCACUUUGUGAUUCAUGACUGGGGUGAAGUCGUAACAAGGUAACCGUAGGGGAACCUGCGGUUGGAUCACCUCCUUACCUAAGAGA
rnacentral:rRNA from 1 species